rnacentral:rRNA from 1 species
AUGAAGCCCUUCGGGGUGGAUUAGUGGCGAACGGGUGAGUAACACGUGGGCAAUCUGCCCUUCACUCUGGGACAAGCCCUGGAAACGGGGUCUAAUACCGGAUAACACUCUGUCCCGCAUGGGACGGGGUUAAAAGCUCCGGCGGUGAAGGAUGAGCCCGCGGCCUAUCAGCUUGUUGGUGGGGUAAUGGCCUACCAAGGCGACGACGGGUAGCCGGCCUGAGAGGGCGACCGGCCACACUGGGACUGAGACACGGCCCAGACUCCUACGGGAGGCAGCAGUGGGGAAUAUUGCACAAUGGGCGAAAGCCUGAUGCAGCGACGCCGCGUGAGGGAUGACGGCCUUCGGGUUGUAAACCUCUUUCAGCAGGGAAGAAGCGAAAGUGACGGUACCUGCAGAAGAAGCGCCGGCUAACUACGUGCCAGCAGCCGCGGUAAUACGUAGGGCGCAAGCGUUGUCCGGAAUUAUUGGGCGUAAAGAGCUCGUAGGCGGCUUGUCACGUCGGAUGUGAAAGCCCGGGGCUUAACCCCGGGUCUGCAUUCGAUACGGGCUAGCUAGAGUGUGGUAGGGGAGAUCGGAAUUCCUGGUGUAGCGGUGAAAUGCGCAGAUAUCAGGAGGAACACCGGUGGCGAAGGCGGAUCUCUGGGCCAUUACUGACGCUGAGGAGCGAAAGCGUGGGGAGCGAACAGGAUUAGAUACC